rnacentral:lncRNA from 1 species
AAAAAAAAAAACAAAGGGGGGAGUUCAAGGACUUUGUAUUAUGUUAAGCUCUAAGGUAGUCGAAAAAUUGAUUUUGGCUUUGGCACAAAGGAACCCACGCGUUGUCGUAGAUUCUUGCGGCAUCCUCGACGAUGACAAAGAUGCCAAUCCAAACGUGGAUUUCUUGCUUGGGUCCUGGAUCCAGAAAACGCAGCGCUAACGCCCAAAUCUACGGCCUCCGCGUGCUAGGGUUCCAAAUUUAGGAUUCAUAAACUAAAAUAAGUUAUCUCACUCUUAUUUUGAUUUUGGAAUAAUAUGAUAUUUGAAUAAUUUAUAUUUUUUAUUUUGGUUAAUUCUUACGUUGGUUAUAUGUCUCUGAUUAAGAUGUAAUUAAGUUGAAUGAUUUUAUUUUUUCAUUUAUUGCAUUUUGUGACAGAUAAAGCUACCACAUAUUAUUAAUACUUUUGAAUACCC